AUUGAACGCUGGCGGAAUGCUUUACACAUGCAAGUCGAACGGCAGCACGGACUUCGGUCUGGUGGCGAGUGGCGAACGGGUGAGUAAUACAUCGGAACGUGCCCAAUCGUGGGGGAUGACGUAGCGAAAGCUACGCUAAUACCGCAUACGAUCUAAGGAUGAAAGCGGGGGAUCGCAAGACCUCGCGCGAAUGGAGCGGCCGAUGGCAGAUUAGGUAGUUGGUAGGGUAAAGGCCUACCAAGCCGACGAUCUGUAGCUGGUCUGAGAGGAUGAUCAGCCACACUGGGACUGAGACGCGGCCCAGACUCCUACGGGAGGCAGCAGUGGGGAAUUUUGGACAAUGGACGCAAGUCUGAUCCAGCCAUUCCGCGUGCAGGAUGAAGGCCCUCGGGUUGUAAACUGCUUUUGUACAGAACGAAAAGGCUCUGGUUAAUACCUGGGGCUCAUGACGGUACUGUAAGAAUAAGCACCGGCUAACUACGUGCCAGCCGCCGCGGUAA
rnacentral:rRNA from 1 species